rnacentral:misc_RNA from 1 species
GAUGAAGAACGCAGCGAAAUGCGAUAAGUAAUGUGAAUUGCAGAAUUCAGUGAAUCAUCGAAUCUUUGAACGCACAUUGCGCCCGCCAGUAUUCUGGCGGGCAUGCCUGUUCGAGCGUCAUUUCAACCCUCAAGCCCAGCUUGGUGUUGGGGAUCGGCACAGGCGCCCUCGGGCGCCCGCCGUCCCCUAAAUCUAGUGGCGGUCCCGCUGCAGCCUCCUCUGCGUAGUAGUUUUCUCCUCGCAAGGGCAGCUCGGUGGCGACCUCGCCGUAAAACCCCCAACUUCUGAAAGGUUGACCUCGAAUCAGGUAGGAAUACCCGCUGAACUUAAGCAUAUCAUAAGCGGAGGA